GAUGAAGAACGUAGCGAAAUGCGAUAAGUAGUGUGAAUUGCAGAAUUCAGUGAAUCAUCGAAUCUUUGAACGCACAUUGCGCCCCUUGGUAUUCCAUGGGGCAUGCCUGUUCGAGCGUCAUUUGUACCUUCAAGCUUUGCUUGGUGUUGGGUGUUUGUCUCGCCUUUGCGUGUAGACUCGCCUUAAAAUAAUUGGCAGCCGGCGUAUUGAUUUCGGAGCGCAGUACAUCUCGCGCUUUGCACUCAUAACGACAGCGUCCAAAAGUACAUUUUACACUCUUGACCUCGGAUCAGGUAGGGAUACCCGCUGAACCUAAGCAUAUCAAUAAGCGGAGGA
rnacentral:misc_RNA from 1 species